rnacentral:misc_RNA from 1 species
CCGCUCACAUCGACAGAGAUAACAUGAACAGACAUUGAUU